rnacentral:rRNA from 1 species
GACAGAGGGUGCAAACGUUGCUCGGAAUCACUGGGCGUAAAGGGCGUGUAGGCGGGUAGAUAAGUCGGGCGUGAAAUCCCUAGGCUCAACCUAGGAACUGCACUCGAAAACUGUUUAUCUUGAGUGCCGGAGAGGAAAGCGGAAUUCCUGGAUGUAGAGGUGAAAUUCGUAGAUAUCAGGAGGAACACCGAUGGCGAAGGCAGGUCUCUGGGCCACUACUGGACGCUGAGA